rnacentral:miRNA from 1 species
GUACGGCAUGAGCUCGGGUAGU